AACGAACGCUGGCGGCAUGCCUAACACAUGCAAGUCGAACGAGACCUUCGGGUCUAGUGGCGCACGGGUGCGUAACGCGUGGGAACCUGCCCUUAGGUUCGGAAUAACUCCCCGAAAGGGGUGCUAAUACCGGAUAAUGUCUUCGGACCAAAGAUUUAUCGCCUUUGGAUGGGCCCGCGUUGGAUUAGCUAGUUGGUAGGGUAAAAGCCUACCAAGGCGACGAUCCAUAGCUGGUCUGAGAGGAUGAUCAGCCACACUGGGACUGAGACACGGCCCAGACUCAUACGGGAGGCAGCAGGGGGGAAUAUUGGACAGUGGGCGAGAGACUGAUCCAGCAAUGCCGCGUGAGUGAUGAAGGCCUUAGGGUUGUAAAGCUCUUUUACCCGGGAUGAUAAUGACAGUACCGGGAGAAUAAGCGCCGGCUAACUCCGUG
rnacentral:rRNA from 1 species